rnacentral:snoRNA from 1 species
AUCCUCAGGCUCAUAAGCGUGAUGAUUGGGUGUUCAUGCUCCAUGCAUGACAUGUGCCUCCUUUGAACCUUGUUACGACCUCGGCACAUUACCCAUGUGACG